ACUAGAGCCUAGGUUGCUGUACAAAAGACUUACUUAAGGGCAGAGAUGCACAAAGAUCCCAGGUAAGAGGUCAAACCAAAAUUAAAUAGUUUGACCACUUAAAAAUGGGGCACUCUUGGCACCACUAUAAUGCACUGCAGAGCUGAGUGAGUUUGUAUAUCUUGGACUGGUUCCCCAGUAAUAGGGCAGAGUGGUAUGUGUAG